ACACCUCAACCCUCAUGGUUUGCCAUGAUGGGCUUGGACUUUGGAGGUUUUGCGGGCUUAUGGCCAGCUCCUCUCAAAAAAUUAGCUUACCAGUGUAUGGUGGCAUCAUGGGUGUGAUAAUUAUCUGCGCUUGUGGUUGUCCGCCAGGUAACCUUCAACCUCGGAGGUUUGCUGGGGCUUAUAAAUGUCUCUCCUCAGUGAAGACAUCUUUCUGAAC
rnacentral:misc_RNA from 1 species